rnacentral:rRNA from 1 species
GAUGAACGCUGGCGGCGUGCCUAAUACAUGCAAGUCGAGCGAACGGACGAGAAGCUUGCUUCUCUGAUGUUAGCGGCGGACGGGUGAGUAACACGUGGAUAACCUACCUAUAAGACUGGGAUAACUUCGGGAAACCGGAGCUAAUACCGGUUAAUAUUUUGAACCGCAUGGUUCAAAAGUGAAAGACGGUCUUGCUGUCACUUAUAGAUGGAUCCGCGCUGCAUUAGCUAGUUGGUAAGGUAACGGCUUACCAAGGCAACGAUGCAUAGCCGACCUGAGAGGGUGGGCGCCCGCACUGGAAGUGGGACGGGCACCAGAGUCCUGAGGGAGGGACCAGUCGGGAAUCUUCGGCAGUGGGGGGAAGCCUUGCGGAACAGCGCGACGUGAGUGGCAGCGGCCUUCGGAGCGUAAUACCGUGUUAUGAGGGAAAAACAUAUUUGUAAGUAACUGUACCCUUCUUGACGGUACUUAAUAAAAAAGCACCGGCUAACUACGUG